AUGGCAGGUACANCGGGAAGCCAUAUGGCGACAUAGAGCGGAACCCGAAAACCUGUCUCAGUUCGGAUUGGAGUCUGCAACCCGACUCCAUGAAGCUGGAUUCGCUAGUAAUCGCGCAUCAGCCACGGCGCGGUGAAUACGUUCCCGGGCCUUGUACACACCGCCCGUCAAGCCAUGGGAGCCGGGGGUACCUGAAGUGCGUGACCGCAAGGAGCGCCCUAAGGUAAAACCGGUGACUGGGGCUAAGUCGUAACAAGGUACC
rnacentral:rRNA from 1 species